rnacentral:rRNA from 1 species
AUCUAUAGCCACGCCACCCUGAACACGCCCGAUCCCGUCCGAUCUCGGAAGCUAAGCAGGGUCGGGCCUGGUUAGUACUUGGAUGGGAGGCCACCUGGGAAGACCAGGUGCUGUAGGCA